GUAGUCAUAUGCUUGUCUCAAAGAUUAAGCCAUGCAUGUCUAAGUAUAAGCAAUUACAAAGCGAAACUGCGAAUGGCUCAUUAUAUAAGUUAUCGCUUAUUUGAUAGUACCUUACUACAUGGGUAACCGUGGUAAUUCUAGAGCUAAUACAUGCUGAAAAUCCCGACUUCGGAAGGGAUGUAUUUAUUAGAUACAAAACCAAUGCCCUUCGGGGCUCUCUUGGUGAUUCAUGAUAACUUCUCGAAUCGCACGGCCCCGCGCCGGCGAUGGUUCAUUCAAAUUUCUUCCCUAUCAACUUUCGAUGCUACGGUAUUGUCCUAGCAUGGUUGCAACGGGUGACGGAGGGUUAGGGCUCGACCCCGGAGAAGGAGCCUGAGAAACGGCUACUACAUCCAAGGAAGGCAGCAGGCGCGCAAAUUACCCAAUCCCGACUCGGGGAGGUAGUGACGAUAAAUACCGAUACAGGGCUCUUUUGGGUCCUGUAAUUGGAAUGAGUACAAUUCAAAUCCCUUAACGAGGAACAAUUGGAGGGCAAGUCUGGUGCCAGCAGCCGCGGUAAUUCCAGCUCCCCAGGGGUGGAGCCUGCGGCUUAAUUUGACUCAACACGGGGAAACUCACCAGGUCCAGACACAACGAGGAUUGACAGAUUGAGAGCUCUUUCUUGAUUUUGUGGGUGGUGGUGCAUGGCCGUUCUUAGUUGGUGGAGUGAUUUGUCUGCUUAAUUGCGAUAACGAACGAGACCUUAACCUGCUAAAUAGUCCGUAUUACCCCGGUAGUACGCCGACUUUUUAGAGGGACUAUCGGCUCAAGCCGAUGGAAGUUUGAGGCAAUAACAGGUCUGUGAUGCCCUUAGAUGUUUUGGGCCGCACGCGCGUUACACUGACGGGGCCAGCGAGUACUGCCUUGGCCGAAAGGUCCGGGUAAUCUUGUGAAACCCCGUCGUGCUGGGGAUAGAGCAUUGCAAUUAUUGCUCUUCAACGAGGAAUCCCUAGUAAGCGCAAGUCAUCAGCUUGCGUUGAUUACGUCCCUGCCCUUUGUACACACCGCCCGUCGCUACUACCGAUUGAAUGGCU
rnacentral:rRNA from 1 species